UUUUUUUUUUUUUUUUGAGGCAAUAUCUCACUAUGGUUUUGAUUUGAAUUUCCUUGAUGAUUUGCGAUGUUGAACACCUUUUUCAUAUACCUGUUGGUCAUUUGUAUGUUUUCUUUAGAAAAAUGUCUAUUAAGGUUUUUUGUUCAUUUUUAAAUCGGGUUUAUUUGUAUUUUUAUAUUGUCAUAUAUAUUGAGUUAUUUGGAUUCCUUAUAUAUUUCCAUAUACCUUGUCAGAUACAUGGUUU
rnacentral:lncRNA from 1 species